AAACCUAUUCUGCAGCAGAGAGCAGGACACCAGAACACCAUCACCAACCAGACUCGGUUUGCUCGUUCCUGUUCUCUGGUAAACUGUUCAACCAACAUGCAGUUGUCAGCUCAACUAGUGCUGCCACAUCAGCAGGACUACUUCGCUCUUGGCUCCGGACAGACCAUCAUGUU